AACGAACGCUGGCGGCAUGCCUAAUACAUGCAAGUCGAACGGGAUCUUCGGAUCUAGUGGCGCACGGGUGCGUAACGCGUGGGAAUCUGCCCUUGGGUUCGGAAUAACUUCUGGAAACGGAAGCUAAUACCGGAUGAUGACGUAAGUCCAAAGAUUUAUCGCCCAAGGAUGAGCCCGCGUAGGAUUAGCUAGUUGGUGGGGUAAAGGCCCACCAAGGCGACGAUCCUUAGCUGGUCUGAGAGGAUGAUCAGCCACACUGGGACUGAGACACGGCCCAGACUCCUACGGGAGGCAGCAGUAGGGAAUAUUGGACAAUGGGGGAAACCCUGAUCCAGCAAUGCCGCGUGAGUGAUGAAGGCCUUAGGGUUGUAAAGCUCUUUUACCCGGGAUGAUAAUGACAGUACCGGGAGAAUAAGCUCCGGCUAACUCCGUG
rnacentral:rRNA from 1 species